GACGAACGCUGGCGGCGUGCCUAACACAUGCAAGUCGAACGGAGCUUUAAGAGGAAACCCUUCGGGGCGGAAUUUUAAAGCUUAGUGGCGGACGGGUGAGUAACACGUGAGUAACCUGCCCCAAGGAGGGGGAUAACAUACCGAAAGGUAUGCUAAUACCCCAUAAUGUAUAAGUGCCGCAUGGUGCAUAUACCAAAGAUUUAUCGCCUUGGGAUGGACUCGCGGCCGAUUAGGUAGUUGGUGAGGUAACGGCUCACCAAGCCAACGAUCGGUAGCCGGACUGAGAGGUUGAACGGCCACAUUGGGACUGAGACACGGCCCAGACUCCUACGGGAGGCAGCAGUGGGGGAAUAUUGCGCAAUGGGGGAAACCCUGACGCAGCGACGCCGCGUGAAGGAUGAAGGUUUUCGGAUCGUAAACUUAUGUCUUUGGGGUACGAGGAAGGACGGUACCCAAGGAGGAAGCCACGGCUAACUACGUG
rnacentral:rRNA from 1 species